GGUGCGUCCCGUCCAUGUAGGUGCGUCCCAUCCAUGUAGGUGCGUCCCGUCCGUGUAGGUGCGUCCUGUCCGUGUAGGUGCGUCCCGUCCGUGUAGGUGCGUCCUGUCCGUGUAGGUGCGUCCCGUCCGUGUAGGUGCGUCCUGUCCGUGUAGGUGCGUCCCGUCCGUGUAGGUGCGUCCUGUCCGUGUAGGUGCGUCCCGUCCGUGUAGGUGCGUCCUGUCCGUGUAGGUGCGUCCCGUCCGUGUAGGUGCGUCCUGUCCGUGUAGGUGCGUCCCGUCCGUGUAGGUGCGUCCCGUCCAUGUAGGUGCGUCCCAUCCAUGUAGGUGCGUCCCAUCCAUGUAGGUGUGUCCCGU